AACAUGGCCUGGGACCUAAAGAAAAACAGGCACAACAUGCUCAAACAACGCGUCUUGUGUACAUUGGUGAGGUGAGCGCGCAGCUGCCUGAGCGAGCGUGCGUUCAUGUUGUACGGUAAAAUUCAAUCUCCUCUUUUUUACUCCAGCUAAAGUUGUUAGUUAGCAAGGCGAGUAGGAGCGCAAUCUGCAGGAUACUAAGCGCAAUAACAUUUAUUAAAAAAAAUAAUAAUUGGUCGGUUGCUAAUCGGUUGUAAUCGGCGUCUUUUUGGCCGAUGCCGAUUAUUUUCAAAAAGGCUAUAAUCGGCCGAUUAAAUCGGCAGGCCGAUGAAUCGGUCGGGCCCUAGUUGUCCAGUCAGAGUUCCAAGUUGCAUAGGCUUUAUUGUCCAAAGGUGCGAGCAGGGCUGUAUGGAUGGGUCAUGGUAGGUAUGAUGCUAAUGUGCAACUAGGUGUGAUGGGUAGGUAGGCCUUGCAUCGGCAGUUCAACCAUUUAAAAAAUCCAAAUCCAAAUUCUUUGAAAUAGCAACUUAUUUUUUUUACAGUAACGCAAAUAGUUACUUUCCCUGGGAACUUGUUACUUUUAUUAUAGAGUAAUUCAGGUACUAACUCAGUUACUUUUUGGAACAAGUAGUGAGUAACUAUAACUAAUUACUUUUCUAAAGUAAUGUUCCCAACACUGGUGGCUAAGGUAUGUGUGGCUGACCCCGAGAUGCCACCGGACGCGUUACGGCAGCGUUACGGCUGCGUUACGGCUGCGGCACGGAAGGGCUGCGACUCUGCCCUGCUUGCAUUUCCACCGGGCGCGUUACGGCAGAGCCGGCCGAGCCAGCCGUAUUCACACGAGAUCACGCGAUAAUCCUAAACCUAAUGUACUCACCUUCCACUCCCAAAUCUACUGCAAUUAAAUGCCACGCUUUGUCCUUCUGGCCAUUGUUAUUAUAAAAAGGAUGAUUUGGUACAUAAAUGACUUCAUGUUGCUGAACUUCGACAAUAUGUCUCUCGUCGUCCAUGUUGCCGACCCUCUAAGACCUCUUUGAUUGAUUGACUGCUGACCUGGUGCCACCGGUCAUGACGUAAUAAUGAUGAUGUGAAGUUGUGAUAGGCUACAUGAGCCGAGUAUUGUGUUUUAUUUUGAAAAUUGACCGGAUGCUCUAUGGCUUUUACUUUUUCAUUUCCUGCCCUGCUCGAUCUGCUCUGUUGAAAUUGACGCGGUUCAGCAACGGCUUGCGGCAAAAAUAGAAAUCCUACGGAAUGAUAGCGCUGCGGCACGGCGAGCCGCUCCUGGGACGCUGCUGAGACGUUCUGCAACCGCGCCCGGUGGAAAUGGUCUCAUUGAUUAGAGUGGAACCUAUCUGCUGCGGUGACCGCGGCCAAGACGUGCCGCAGCCGUAACGCUGCCGUAACGCGUCCGGUGGAAUCAGGCCUUAAGGCAGGAUAUGUGUGGUUUCUGGGAAGCAAACAAAAUGAACAACAAUCAGCUCCACAAUGCAUUGCCACAAGUUCAGUUCAUUAAAUCGUACAAGCCUUAUAAGGUUACAUAACAAAAUCCAUUGCCCACAAAACAACUCAGAUUCUUUGUAUGCGCACACAAGGAGUUCAAGGUAGAGCUCUCAAGGUGUUCAGUGUCUCCGAACAAAGGAAAGGGGUGUGGUCACAGGUGAGGCUUAAAUAGUGUGUGGCAGGGCAGGGAGUAAUUAACUGAUUGAUAUGGGCUAAUUGGGAAAAUGAAGGGGGCAAUAAAGGGGCGUAGCUCUGGGUCAGUGAGGUGAGGAGGGAAGCAGAAAUCUACCAAACAGCAGCCAAUCAAGUCGCUUGCUGCUAUAAGCCGAUGUGUGGAUAUCAAUACAAAAGAUGACACAAACAGGUGUCAAUAAUAUGCCAGUUGGCGUGCAGCAUCCAAGACAUUUCUGAACUUAUGUUAUGGCGACCAUUAAGAUACAUUGAAGGACAUUUGCGGCAUGCCUUGACGCAAGGUUACAUGUUUUUGGAGGCGCACGUCAGGCCUUGCGAUGGUGGCGCCUCACAAAAAUUGUAACCUUGCGUCGAUGCAACGCAGUAGGAAGGGCUGUGAUUGGUCCGCUAACGUAAACCCGACGCAGGACCAAAAAAGGUUCACGACGGAGUCAGAGCGACUGCGUGGUCGUUGCGUUGCGUCGACGUCCAACCAUAGAAGGGUUUUCCGGGAUGGCUGAGGGUACACGCAUGUUGUAAACAAGGGUAAUAAACAGCAUCAUGAAUUGUUAUCGAUUCAUCUAUUAUAAUUUUUUUAUUGAUGUAGAGAUAAAAAGUUGUAAUACAAUAGAGAUAUAAAGCACAACUAAGCAAACACAGUUGCAAACACAACUCAGAGGUAAGUUGUUGGUGUAUUGGUUUCUGAAUGUCAUACAACCCAUUAUUUCCUUUUGUGUCACCAUUUCAACUAUCUUGACGGGUUAUAAGCUGCUGUCAA